rnacentral:rRNA from 1 species
UACGGAGGGGGUUAGCGUUGUUCGGAAUGACUGGGCGUAAAGCGCGCGUAGGCGGGCUGGAAAGUUGGGGGUGAAAUCCCGGGGCUCAACCCCGGAAUGGCCUUCAAAACUCCCAGCCUAGAGUUCGAGAGAGGUGAGUGGAAUUCCGAGUGUAGAGGUGAAAUUCGUAGAUAUUCGGAGGAACACCAGUGGCGAAGGCGGCUCACUGGCUCGACACUGACGCUGAGGUGCGAAAGCUAGGGGAGCGAACGGG